rnacentral:lncRNA from 1 species
UGAGCCACUUGCUGUCAUUUGAGAAAUCUUGAAGAACAGAUUCUCAGUGUCUUUCUCCAAUUUCCUGUUGUGGAACAUCUUCAGGAUUACAUCAGUCCUACUGCCAACAACUUUGAUGAGUGAGAAAGCUUUCGUUUAAGCUUGGGGUUCAUACAUUUGUGGACAGAUUGGCUUUUGGCAGACACUUGAAAAAUGUUCCUGCCAAACUCUCUCGUUGGCAGAUGGCAACAGCUGGGUUAUGACUGACUUUGGAGAAACGCUGAAGAAGCUCUUCUCAAGGGUCCAUUGUAU